rnacentral:rRNA from 1 species
AGUGGGGGAUAGCUCGGCGAAAGCCGGAUUAAUACCGCAUAUGCCCUGAGGGGGAAAGCGGGGGAUCUUAGGACCUCGCGCUUUCGGAGUGGCCGAUAUCGGAUUAGCUAGUUGGUGGGGUAAAGGCUUACCAAGGCGACGAUCCGUAGCUGGUCUGAGAGGACGACCAGCCACACUGGAACUGAGACACGGUCCAGACUCCUACGGGAGGCAGCAGUGGGGAAUUUUGGACAAUGGGGGAAACCCUGAUCCAGCCAUGCCGCGUGAGUGAAGAAGGCCUUCGGGUUGUAAAGCUCUUUUAGACGGAAAGAAACGGUCACGGUGAAUAUCCGUGACUAAUGACGGUACCGUCAGAAAAAGCACCGGCUAACUACGUGCCAGCAGCCGCGGUAAUACGUAGGGUGCGAGCGUUAAUCGGAAUUACUGGGCGUAAAGCGUGCGCAGGCGGUUUUGUAAGACAGGUGUGAAAUCCCCGGGCUUAACCUGGGAACUGCAUUUGUGACUGCAAGGCUAGAGUGCGGCAGAGGGGGGUAGAAUUCCA